GAUGAACGCUAGCGGCAGGCUUAAUACAUGCAAGUCGAGGGACAGCACAGGUAGCAAUACUGGGUGGUAACCGGCAAACGGGUGCGGAACACGUACACAACCUUCCUUUAAGUGGGGGAUAGCCCAGAGAAAUUUGGAUUAAUACCCCGUAAUAUAGUUGAAUGGCAUCAUUUGAUUAUUAUAGCUACGGCGCUUAAUGAUGGGUGUGCGGCUGAUUAGAUAGUUGGCGGGGUAACGGCCCACCAAGUCUACGAUCAGUAGCUGAUGUGAGAGCAUGAUCAGCCAAACGGGAACUAAGACACGGGCCCGACUCCUACGGGAGGCAGCAGUAAGGAAUAUUGGUCAAUGGACGCAAGUCUGAACCAGCCAUGCCGCGUGAAGGAUUAAGGUCCUCUGGAUUGUAAACUUCUUUUAUUUGGGACGAAAAAGGGCCUUUCUAGGUCAACUGACGGUACCAGAUGAAUAAGCACCGGCUAACUCCGUGCCAGCAGCCGCGGUAAGAC
rnacentral:rRNA from 1 species